UACAGAGACUGCAAGCGUUAUUCGGAUUCACUGGGCGUAAAGGGUGCGCAGGCGGCCGUGUGUGUGAGGCGUGAAAGCCCGGGGCCUAACCCCGGAAUUGCACCUCAAACUACAUGGCUAGAGCAUUGGAGAGGGUAGCGGAAUUCACGGUGUAGCAGUGAAAUGCGUAGAUAUCGUGAGGAACACCAGAGGCGAAGGCGGCUACCUGGACAAUUGCUGACGCUCAGGCACGAAAGCGUGGGGAGCAAAAGGG
rnacentral:rRNA from 1 species